rnacentral:rRNA from 1 species
CGGGGGGGGCAAGCGUUGUUCGGAAUUACUGGGCGUAAAGAGCUCGUAGGCGGUUUGUCGCGUCUGCUGUGAAAACUCGGGGCUUAACCCCGGGCCUGCAGUGGGUACGGGCAGACUAGAGUGCGGUAGGGGAGACUGGAAUUCCUGGUGUAGCGGUGAAAUGCGCAGAUAUCAGGAGGAACACCGGUGGCGAAGGCGGAUCUCUGGGCCGUAACUGACGCUGAGGAGCGAAAGCAUGGGGAGCGAACAGG